rnacentral:rRNA from 1 species
GAUGAACGCUGGCUGUGUGCCUAAUACAUGCAUGUCGAACGAAGCACUUGUGCUUAGUGGCGAAUGGGUGAGUAACACGUACUUAAUCUACCCCGAAGUUUGGGACAACAAUUGGAAACGAUUGCUAAUACCGAAUAUUCCUUUUCCUCGCAUGGGGAAUUGGUAAAAGGCCCGUUUGGGUCGCCAAGAGAUGAGAGUGCGGUACAUUAGUUAGUUGGUAGGGUAAUGGCCUACCAAGACGAUGAUGUAUAGCGGGGUUGAGAAGCUGAACCGCCACACUGGGACUGAGAUACGGCCCAGACUCCUACGGGAGGCAGCAGUAGGGAAUAUUCCACAAUGAGCGAAAGCUUGAUGGAGCGACACAGCGUGCAGGAUGAAGGUCUUCGGAUUGUAAACUGCUGUUAUAAGGGAAGAAACACCAGACUAGGAAAUGAGUUUGGCUUGACGGUACCUUAUCAGAAAGCACCGGCAAACUAUGUGCCAGCCGCCGCCGUAAU